GCUACCUGCUAUGAAAAGAAACAUUAAAGACAUCUUGAUGUAAAACAAUCCAUAUUCCCCAAGCACAAAGGGGAAAGAUCCUGUACAGCAAACCUUAAAUAGGGUAAUAUAAUCUCUUUCCUGAAGAUCUUUAGUAGAUUAUUUUAUUUCAAAUUUAUUUACAAAUUACCUAGGUUCUUAUACUUGUUAUGUUGGCUCUCUCUUGUGGUAGAUUUAUUGAAGUUAU
rnacentral:misc_RNA from 1 species